CAGAAAAAAUCCCUAGCUAAUUAGUGACUGAUUUACAAGGGAUAUGCCACGAAAAUCAUUUUUGUAGAUAAGGUGUAAAUUUUAGCAUGUUAGCGAGGGAUUAGAAAGGGAUUACUGACGGAAUCAGAAACUCACAAAUAUUUCGGUCACUAAUUUUUGUUAAGCCCUCCCAAAUAUUUCAUUUCCCCCGCUCCUCAUCCCAAUUAUUUUCAUUUCCCCCCAUUCUCCCUCCUAAAUCGACAUUCACUAGUUAUCUCUCAUGCUUGUUUCUGAAAUCCAAAGCCCAAAUCGACACUCGUCUUGCAAAUCGGCACUCAUCCCAAAUCGAUACUAAUAGUCGUCUUCUUUAUGUUCCUAAAACUCGAUUCCAACAGAAGGAAACCCUAGCCAAGACCCUCGAUAUCAUGACGACCCUUCCUGUCGAUGAAAUUUAACCCAAGUAAGUUUCUGUCUUUGGCUUCUUUCCUGUAGCUAAUGUGCUGGCUCAUCUUCUUCAGUUCGUAUGUGGCUUCUUUUCUUCUAUUCCGACUUUUAGAUAUGGGAAGAAGCAAAGGACAGAGAGAAACAUGAAGACGAGAGUAGGACCACUGCAUCUGAUUCCUUUUGACCACUUCAUCACCGCCGAGCCUGAAAUCCCAUGAACCACCGUCUCAACCUUUCUCACAAAAAUCUUAAUUCCUCACUAAGGUUUUCCUCUAUAUCUAUCUAACUGUGUGUUUUUAUUUCGUAGAAACAAAAGUUGUUCUGUUUUUUCUUUCUAAAUUGGUCUGAUUACACAAAAUAAAUAUUUAUGAUAUUUGUUAUUUAGAUAGUUUUUUUCAGUUUUUUGGUUCGUUUUGGUUGGUGCAUGUUUUGUUUGAUGUUUGUGAGGAAGGUUCAAGAAUGGGAGUGGAAGGUUCUUAACUAAAUUAGUUGAUUUAUAUAUAUCUCUAUGUGUGUAUACUCUAAUGCAUGAAUUUGUGUGUGUACAAACUCCAGUACUGUUGCAGAUCUUUCUAGUGGUGAAUUAGUGUUCGAGUCUUUAGCUGAGGCAUGUUCUUUGCAAAUAGUGAAACAACUAAAACAAACCUUUCUGUGAAGUUAAUGCAGGUUUCAUAUUUGUAGGUUAUCUCAAUCAUGUUUGUAAGGAAGUAAGAGGAACUAUUUGACGAAUGCGAGGUCCUAGUUUCUAGUAGUGAAAUCGCCAGGAGGUGUAACUUACUCCUAAAGAUCAAGGAAACAACUUAACCACUUAACUAGACUUUGGAACUUUUGAUUUUUGUUAAUAGGUUUAGGAAAUAAGAAAUUGAAUAUGAAUGAUUAUUUUGUAAGUCGAAUUUAAUCAUUAUUUUGGUAGUGGGAUGUCAAUGUAAUGUUUUGGGGUAUAAAUUUGAAUUUCAUUUGUGAA